UAAUUUAUCUACGACAAAUUCUUAUCUAGUUAUAACAGACUCACACCUAGCUGUCCUGAAUCACUUAUUGUCGCAAGUUCAACUAAAUCAAGAGGUCUUUUGUAAUAACUAACAAUUUCUAGCUUAACCU
rfam:Populus trichocarpa scaffold_4_contig_23, whole genome shotgun sequence.